ensembl:snRNA RNU6-1054P RNA, U6 small nuclear 1054, pseudogene
AUGCUUGCCUCAGUAGCACACAUACUUAAGUUGGAACAACAGAGAGAUUGGCACGGCCUCUGUGAAAGAAUGACAUGCAAAUUUGUGAAGCAUUCCAUAUUUUU